rnacentral:lncRNA from 1 species
GGCGGGUUAUCAUGCUCCCGAAGUUCUCGAGACACGGAAAGUAACUUUCAAAUCAGAUGUGUACAGUUUCGGGGUGUUGCUGCUUGAGCUCUUGACUGGUAAAUCACCAAACCAGGCAUCACUUGGCGAAGAAGGCAUUGAUCUACCUCGGUGGGUGCUUUCUGUGGUUAGAGAAGAAUGGACCGCUGAAGUAUUCGAUGUUGAGCUGAUGCGGUACCACAACAUAGAGGAAGAGAUGGUUCAGCUUCUUCAAAUCGCAAUGGCGUGUGUCUCUACGGUUCCUGAUCAACGGCCGGUAAUGCAGGAAGUGCUGAGAAUGAUUGAGGAUGUGAACAGAAGUGAAACAACCGAUGACGGGUUAAGACAAUCGUCUGAUGACCCGUCCAAAGGUUCAGAGGGUCAGACUCCUCCAGGGGAAUCAAGGACGCCACCACGUUCGGUCACGCCUUAGUGUAGCUGAGAACAGCUUUAGUUUGUGUGUUCACUUUCUCCUCAAAAGGAGAUAAAAGAAAAGUGUGUGAGGUCUUUGUUGGGUUACGGUAAAGCAAAAAGGCUGGACCAGUGUGGCAUUUGAACCAAGUUCUUAAAAGAUGGCAUCUCCCAUCUAUUUUUUUCUUUCAAAAAAAUACAUUUCUGAGAUAUUCUAGUAGUUACUUUUCCUUUUUUUUUUGUUAUUUGAAAUUUUGAAUAUUGUGUUUACAGGUUUCAAUCAAAAUUCAAUCUAAACAACGUUGCACUUUAUCCGAAUAUAAGUUACAUAACACUACGAAUUAGAGCUUUUUCAAAGCUCACUCUAUAUUUGUAGACCAAUAAAAAUUGAAACUUUAAUCUUCAGUUUAGUUUUAUAAUUUUAUUUGUGUUCAGGAUCAUUACUUUAAUGUAGUCUCCAUUAUCGUUUAUAUAUAAUCAUAUCACUUAAGAAAAAAUGAUAAUUUGGAAAUUGUACUUUAAACAUAUAUGUAUACUAUAUAUAAAAAGUGUGAAUUAAAGUGUACAUAUAUUGAGUGUUGCUGAAAUUUCAAUCAUAGUUGUGAACAAGAAGUAAAGCACAAUGAAACCAGGAAGCUAUUACUACUAAUCAAUUAUCGUCGUAGAACUAGAAAGCAAGAGAUCCCAAUUAUGAUGAAAAAUUAUAUCCAGUUCAACACAUCUCAUAUCUAUAAUAUUAUUUAUCUUAUUUGAGAAAUCAGUCAUGUCAAGCUAGUUUUUAAGGUGGUUAUUUUUAUUUUAUUUUUUUUGAUGAAAUGUUAAAUUUAUUGAUCAAUUUUGAAAAAGAUAUUAUGUACAUCUAUAAGGCUAUUACUAACUGAAACCUUGUUAAAGAAUCAACAAAUUUGGAAGACGUAUGAAAAAGUUAUAGAUCACUCCUUUCCAAGAGUUCCAAGUCCGUAGGUCACUCGUGGUGCGAAUGGGCUUCAAACCAUCUGCACAUAAUUCCUUUCAGCUUCGGCUUGAGAAAAUAAUGGGUAGAUGAUAACCUGUUCCGGACUGCCUUAUCAAUCAGCUUUGCUAGUUGCUCUACAGACUUCGCUCGGUUACUAUGUUUUCUAUCAUUUCGUUCUAUCCAGAUGAAGUAAACGGUAACCUGAAAGACAAGUCGCAGGAGUAUGAACGUGAGCCGGUCAUACGUUCCAUUCUGCAGACGCUCAAGCGUGGUGCCCCACUCCGGGUCGGGAUCGAUACCAAACAGAUUACCAACAACCUUCAGCCAGAGAGUAAAAGUAAAUGGGCAAGCAAAGAAGAGGUGGUCUCGCGUCUCGUCUGGCUCACCACAGUAAAGACAUCUUUGCGGUUGACCCCAUUGGCUUGUACGGUGGCCUGUCGAUAGUCUAUCACGAAUUGCAAGCCAGGUGAUGAAAGCAUAUCUCGUAACUCCUUGUGAGAACCAUACUAUCUUGCUCCACUGAACUCUACUUCUCGAACUUCUGAUUUGGUGCCAAGUUUCAGACGCACUGAACUUAUUGCCAAACUCAUCAUCUCUACGCUUCCAAGUUUAAGGUGGUUAUUUAUACGGAUCUUUUAAUGAAUUAAAAAUAUUUGAUCUAAUUAUUAAAAAUAUUUAUUUUAUGUCAUUUAGUAACUUCUCUUAAAUAAAAUUUUAAUUUAAUUUUAAUUUUUUACAAAUAAUAAAUAUAAUAAAAAGGUAACAUUUAGAAAAAAUAUAUUUUCUAUAAUAUGAUUUCAUGAAGAAUGAAAUUUCACAAAAAUAAUCUUGUCAUUAAGAAAGUAAAUAAUAUUUUUAAAACAUAAUAUUAAACAACAUAAUAUAUAUUUUCAAAGUAAUAAUCAUAUGUUCUUUAUAUCUAUCUAUUUUCAUAGACGGUUACAAAAACAAAUUAAUAUAAUAAACUGAGAUGUUGACUGAUUUUAAAUAAAAUUCUUCUUAAACUGAUUUUAAACAAGAUAACAUAUAUUAAAAAAGAAACUAAAAAUACCCUUUACCAUAAGUAUAUUUUGAUCAGUUUACUGCAAAAGUAUAUUUUUAAAUAGCAUGACUCUAGAUAUUUUCAAUGAACUAAGAAUACUAUACUUUCCCACUAUUAAAAAUAUUUUUUCUUAAUAUUUUCUUCUUCUUAAGUUUAGUUUUAUUUAUAUAUAUACAAUCCAAUAUAUCCAUAAUAAAAGAACCUAUGCAAUCUACAUUCUUAUGUGUAAGGCAAAAAUUACUUACAGUUAUAAAAUAUUUUAGUUAUUGUAAAUAUCGAUAUGCAUUCAUGAGCUUUCAAAAAAAUAUUAGUAUUUUUCUUUAAAAAACUUUUUACUGAUCAUUGGUUUAUUUUAUUAAUAUUUUGGAAAAUCAAAAUAUAUCAAAUUAUUAAAAAUAUUAUAGAAAUAUACUUACAUAUUUAAGAUGAAGAACUGAACUAAAAGUGAUUAAUAAAACUAAUCCGAUUUGGCUUUAGUAGGAAUCAAAACAAUUAUAUUUCAAUUUGAAAGAAUAUAGGUAACUCAACAUUCCCACAAAACGAAUAGUUAGACUAAUCGAAUUGCUUAUAUCCAAAAUCAAAGAUCUAACUAAAAUAACAACAUAUCUUCAUGGUAAUAUUUUCUUUACUUUUAUACAUAUACAUUAUGGGAUGCCUUAAAACAUAUUACUAAAUAAAAAUAAAUUAUUAGCCGAUUUUCAAAUUUAGUUCUUUUGUAAAAUUUAUAUAUAUGUAUGUGAUUUUAAAAUAUUAUCAUUAUAUUUAUUUAUGUAAUUUUGAAUCAAUCAACCCUUUAAUUUAUUUUUCUAUUUGAUUUUCAAAAACAAAAAGUAUAUAUAUAUAUAUAUAUAUAUAUUAAGUUAUACAUAACCUUAAUAAAAUUUAUUUACAUAUCUAAUACAACAACCAACCUAAAUUCAAUUGACAAAAUUAAUCAAAUUUUUAAGGAGGAAUUUGCCAAAUGAAUUAGGACUUGAAUUUGAAUGCAAAGCUAUACCUACCUCAAAUCAAUCAAAUGCAAAAGUAGUAGUAAAAUUACAAUUAUCUCUCUUUAUGACAAAAGAAACUUGUAAACAUUUUACGAUAAUAGUCUUUGGAAGUCUUUAACGGCUCGAUUCCUUCUUCCUUGUCUAAAUUCCCCGCCGCGUCGUUCGCGGGGAACGUGAAUCUCUGCGGCGGUCCGUUGCGGCCGUGCAAAUCCUUCUUCAUAUCUCCGUCGCCCUCUCCGGAUGACGCUCCCUCUCCCUCGCGUCUCUCCGGGAAGAAAUCGAAGCUCUCCACGGCGGCGAUUAUCGCGAUCUCCUUCGCGAGCGCGUUGAUUGGUCUUCUCCUUUUAGCUCUCGUCUUCUUCCUCUGCUUGAGGAAACGACGACGAGGAGGGAGCAGAACGAAACAGACGAAGCCUGCGGAGACGACAACGCGAAACGUCCCCCCCGAGGGGAUUCCUCCGGCGGGGGGAGCUUCUUCGUCGUCUAAGGAUGUUACUACGGGGACGUCGUCGGGGAUGGGAGAGAGGAACAGGCUCGUUUUCACGGAGGGAGGAGUCUACAGUUUCGAUUUGGAGGAUUUGCUGAGAGCUUCGGCGGAGGUUUUGGGGAAAGGAAGCGUGGGGACGUCGUAUAAGGCGGUGUUGGAGGAAGGCACGACGGUGGUUGUUAAGCGUUUGAAAGACGUGGCGGCGUCGAAGAAGGAGUUUGAAUCGCAGAUGGAGGUUGUUGGCAAAACUAAACAUCCCAAUGUUGUUCCGUUGAGAGCUUAUUAUUACUCCAAAGAUGAGAAGCUUCUCGUCUUUGAUUUCAUGCCCAAUGGAAGCCUCUCUGCUCUUCUUCACGGUUAGUUUGUGUCUUAACAACGUUCCUUGCUCUGCUUUUGUUUAAUCCAAUUUAAAUUCAUCCGUAAUAUGCAUAUUUUAGUAAAUACAUUGUGUGAAUUUCUAACGAAUUCUACCCAGAUUGUGUUUUGUUUCUGUGAAUUUUUACUGCAUUGUAGUUAGAUUGUGUGAAUUUCUACUGAAUUGUAACUACAUUGUGUGUACGCUAUGUGGAUUUCUUGUUUGGUUUAGGUUUUUAUUUUUUCUCCUUAAAUUCAUAUAGUUAUUAUGGUCAAGAAAUGGAUACAUAGUUGCAGCUGUUUGAUGCUUAGAUUGAAAUAAAAGCUGAGUGAGUGAUGAUUGGAUUGUGUUAAUAUUUUUCUAAUGGAUACCUUCUGACAUGUUCUGUGUUUUAUGCUUUGCUGUCAAGAAAAAAAAAACAUUCUUAUUUCUCUGUAGUAAAAAAUUUCAUAGUAUUUUAAUUGUUAGUGUGGCAUAUAGCUGUAGUUGUUCUGCAAUUAUUAUUAAAAGAAAAAAAGGAAGCUGCCGACAUUACAUGCGUCUGUCUGGUAAUUGUCAUAAUAAUUCAUAAUUUUUGCUUCUCUCUCACUCUUUAAAGAUGACAUAGAAUUCAAAAAGAGAAAGACUCUUUUCUUCCACAUGGCCUCUUUAUCAUCAUCAUCAUAGCUUCACUCUUUUCCUUGAAGUGAACUUUUGUCUAAUUAGAGUAGUUUGAGAUCACAUUAACUGAAACUGCAUUUUCAAUAUCUGCCUAACAUGCUCUUUGUUGUGUUCAGGGAGCCGUGGAUCGGGGCGAACUCCGUUAGACUGGGAUAACCGUAUGAGAAUAGCAAUAACUGCAGCGAGAGGUUUGGCCCAUCUUCAUGUUUCAGCCAAAUUAGUACAUGGAAACAUCAAAGCCUCAAACAUACUCCUACAACCAAACCAAGACACUUGCGUCUCUGACUAUGGACUUAAUCAACUGUUCAGUAACUCGACUCAACCAAACCGUUUGGCGGGUUAUCAUGCUCCCGAAGUUCUCGAGACACGGAAAGUAACUUUCAAAUCAGAUGUGUACAGUUUCGGGGUGUUGCUGCUUGAGCUCUUGACUGGUAAAUCACCAAACCAGGCAUCACUUGGCGAAGAAGGCAUUGAUCUACCUCGGUGGGUGCUUUCUGUGGUUAGAGAAGAAUGGACCGCUGAAGUAUUCGAUGUUGAGCUGAUGCGGUACCACAACAUAGAGGAAGAGAUGGUUCAGCUUCUUCAAAUCGCAAUGGCGUGUGUCUCUACGGUUCCUGAUCAACGGCCGG